CGACCACAUCACGUUGAAACACCGCUUCCCGUGCGAUCAACGAAGUUAAGCAACGUCGAGCCUGGUCGGCAUCUAGAUAGCUGAUCGCUUGGGAAUAUCAGGUGCUGUAAG